rnacentral:rRNA from 1 species
AGUGAACGCUGGCGGUAGGCCUAACACAUGCAAGUCGAACGGCAGCACAGUAAGAGCUUGCUCUUACGGGUGGCGAGUGGCGGACGGGUGAGGAAUAAAUCGGAAUCUACUUUUUCGUGGGGGAUAACGUAGGGAAACUUACGCGAAUACCGCAUACGACCUACGGGUGAAAGCAGGGGAUCUUCGGACCUUGCGCGAUUGAAUGAGCCGAUGUCGGAUUAGCUAGUUGGCGGGGUAAAGGCCCACCAAGGCGACGAUCCGUAGCUGGUCUGAGAGGAUGAUCAGCCACACUGGAACUGAGACACGGUCCAGACUCCUACGGGAGGCAGCAGUGGGGAAUAUUGGACAAUGGGCGCAAGCCUGAUCCAGCCAUACCGCGUGGGUGAAGAAGGCCUUCGGGUUGUAAAGCCCUUUUGUUGGGAAAGAAAAGCAGCAGGUUAAUACCCCGCUGUUCUGACGGUACCCAAAGAAUAAGCACCGGCUAACUUCGUG